rnacentral:tRNA from 1 species
GAUGAAUACGUUACUGGUAACCCCCGGUUCCCUUGGUAAGGGAGAGGUCGAGAGUUCAAUCCUCUCUCGCAGCACCA